CAUUGAUUAAAAAAGAAAUUAAAAUAUUCCCAAAGGCCGCAUCUAUAUUUCUCAAAAGUCAUAACAAUCGUUUAUCUCGCGAACAAUCCAAUCAAUACCUUUCCCCCCUUCGAUCGACUUGCGAAAUCAUUUCCGCCCCCUAACUUAAUCGGAACCCUAGAUUUUCUACCCGGCCAUGGCGACCGAUUCCCAAGAUUCUCACCGCAAGCACAGCCGCUCUCUCACCGAUGAUGAUUCACCGGAAAAAUCCAAGCGCCACAAGCACCGCCACCAUCGCCGCCAUCGUCAUCACCACCGCCGCAGCUCCAAGCACAAAAAAGAUGAAAUCAAGGCAGAAAACGUCGAGGAAGUAGCGGAGGAGGUGACCAAGCCGCCUCAUCUUGUCGAUUAUGAUAUGGAGGAAGGUGAGAUAGUUGACGAUGAAGGUGGUGUUGUUGCCGAAGCUGAAAAGAAGGUUGGUUCGGAUGUCGAAUCAGGUGAAUUUAAGGCUGGAGAUGAUUCUUUCAUGAAUGUUGAUGCUGCUGUAGAAAGUCCUGGAAGCAAUCAUAUUGUGACGAGAAAUGAUAAGAGCAGGAAUUCUACUAAGUAUUUGAAGUCACCCAGAAGUGAUCAUAGUGGCAGUGAGAGUGAGGAAGAUGGUAUCUGCUCUCAUCACGACGAAUUUCCAGUGUUGGAGAGGGUGGCUAAUGGUGAUCAUGUUAGUAGGUCGAGUAAGGGAGAAUCUAAGUCAGGUACAAGACACAUGUCUCCUUUAAAAGAACGCAGCAAGGAAAGAGACAAGCAUAGGUCCGGCAGUAAACAACAGAUCCUGGAAUCAAUGGAGUUGGAUGAAGAUGACCUUGGAGGUAGAAGAAAUUCCUAUUCUCAUAAGGUCAGGGAGGUCCGUCGCGAAUCAACAUACCGUUCUCCCUCUCAUGGACGGUACCAUUUAGAGAUUAGUGACAAGAGCAGGUCCGUGUCUCCUGACCGAACUAGGGAAAGAGAGAAUUCACAGAGCAUUGUGCACGAGAGGUAUUCAAAAACUAAGCAUCGUCAUGAAAGGGAUGAAAGGCUUUGUGACAAUGGCAGCGUUGGUUAUGAGGUGGAUGAAGAAAAGGAUAGUCGUGCAGGUACAUAUUACAGAGCUAAUGGUGGAGAGAAAGCCAAGGAUAAAGGAGGUGAGAGAAGUUCCAUCUAUAACAGGUCUACUUUGCGUGACGGAAAGCAUGAGGAUGGUGAUUCUAGAGACAUAGAGACAGAGGAGAAGAUGUACCAGGAUAAGGAACAGUUGGAUAGAGAGCGAACUAGAGAGAGGAGUGAAAGGGAUCGCAAUAGGGAUUGGGUAAAUGAACGAGAUAGGAUCCGGAGCAGGGACCAUAAACUGGAGAAGGAUUCUGUUAGGGCCAGGGAGAUUCCAAGAGAGACAAAGACUGAUGUUGACUGGAAUAGAGAUCGUGGUGGGAGUAGGGAUAGGGAUUAUGAAAGGGAAAGAGGGAGUAGGGAUAGGGAUUAUGAAAGGGAAAGAGGGAGUAGGGAUAGGGAUUAUGAAAGGGAAAGAAGAAGGGAGAAAGAUCGUGAAAGGAGCCGAGACAGGAACCUAGAAAAGGAACGGAGGAGAGAUGAUAGCAUAUCCAUGUACAAAGAUAGAGAAUGGGACAGGUCUCGAAAGUUGGAGAAUGAUAGGGGAAGAGACAAAUAUAGUCACAGAGAUAGACAUAGAGACAAGGCUAGGGAUGAUGAGAGUGAUAGGAGUAGAAGGUACCAUAAAUAUGAUGAUCGUGAUGAUGUUUAUGGUACUCGGGAUAGGCGCUGUGGUUAUGAUGAAGCAGAAUGUUUCCAGGACAGAAAGUUGAAACAUGACUCAGAUAUAGCUCAGUCCUCUAAGGAUGAUUCUCUGAAGUAUAACAAUGAUGGAAUAAACGGGGAUGAUGAUGACAAAAAGGAGUAUCAGGAUAUGCUGGAGUUGAAGACUGCAGAGCAUGAAGAGGAUGAUAUAGAAAAAAUAAAGGAGGAGAGUAGAAGGCGAAGAGAAGCUAUUCUUCAAAAAUAUAAAGCUAAAUCGUUGCAGCAGCAGCAGGCUGUGCAUCAAGUCCUCAAAGUAUCAAAUGAGGAGCUGGCAGAACAGCCUUCUCAAAAGUUGGCUCCUGCAAGUGCUGGUCAACAAGAAAAUAGUGAUGUCAAGCGUGAUGGUAAAGAUGCUUUUGUAGUUGGGACACCGGGGAUAUCUGCUGCGGGAAAUGAUUUAACUGCUGCAGAAAGGAGUACUGUUGUUCUUGGGGAGGGCUCUCCUAAGAGUGAAAGGUCAAAUGAUAUGUUCUGUGAUGAUAUAUUCGGAGAUUCUCCUGCCGGAAUUCGUAAGAUGGGUAAGGGAGAUGGCCUGCCUUUUGAACAGAGUGGUCUUCAUGAUAAUUGGGAUGAUCCAGAGGGAUAUUAUAGUAAGUCUGAUGAUCCAGAGGGACAGUUGUGUUCAGGUUUUCGGUUUGGGGAAGUACUUGAUGGUCGCUAUGAAAUCACAGCAGCACAUGGUAAAGGUGUAUUCUCAACUGUUGUUCGGGCAAAGGAUCUUAAAGCUGGAAUUGGAGAUCCAGAGGAAGUGGCUAUCAAAAUUAUACGAAACAAUGAAACUAUGUUUAAAGCAGGGACCGAAGAGUUGGGGAUUUUGAGGAGGCUUGUUGAUGCAGAUAAAGAUGAUCGGCGUCACUGUGUUCGCUAUCUUACAAAUUUCCAUUAUCGAAAUCAUCUUUGUAUAGUAUUUGAAUCCCUUCAUAUGAAUCUGCGUGAGGUUCUAAAGAAGUUUGGUCGUAAUAUUGGCCUUAAGCUUACUGCUGUGAGAACCUAUGCCAAGCAACUAUUUAUUGCGUUGAAGCAUCUCAGAAACUGCAAAGUUCUACAUUGUGACAUAAAACCGGAUAACAUGCUGGUAAAUGAUACUAAAAAUGUGCUGAAGCUUUGUGAUUUUGGAAAUGCAAUGCUGGCUGGUAAAAAUGAAAUCACGCCGUACCUUGUGAGCCGUUUUUAUCGCGCACCUGAGAUAAUUCUUGGCUUGCCCUAUGAUCAUCCCAUGGACAUUUGGUCAGUUGGCUGUUGUUUAUACGAGUUAUAUACUGGAAAAGUUCUUUUUCCAGGUCCCUCAAACAAUGAGAUGCUUCGUCUUCACAUGGAAUUGAAGGGUCCUUUCCCAAAGAAGAUGCUUCGCAAGGGAGCUUUCCUUGAACAGCAUUUUGACCAGGAUUUAAAUUUUCUUGCCACAGAAGAAGAUCCUGUCACUAAGAAGACUAUUAGGAAGCUGAUUGUUAAUAUUAAGCCAAAAGAUGUUGGUAACAUCAUUAAAGGUUCUCCAGGCGAAGAUUCAAAAAUGUUAGCCAACUUCAAGGAUCUGCUGGAUAAAAUGUUUGUCCUAGAUCCAGAUAAAAGACUAACUGUCUCACAAGCUUUAAAUCACCCAUUUAUUACGGGCAAGUGAAUUCAGAUGCUGAUUUUCUGAGUCCAGAAAUGCUGUAGCACUAGAUUUUUGUACAUUCCAGUCUUAGUUUAUAUCAGACUCUAAUCAUUGGGAAUUUAUCUGUCUAUCUUUUCUGCACUACUGUGGGCCUGAUAUUGAGGGAGAUUGCUUCUGGCGUCAUUCAAGUUGGACUCAGAAGGCUGAUAUCUGUUGGGGAUCACUUACUGGCAAUUCUCAAUGGAUUGUGUUCUGUUUCUAUUGAAACUUCCAGUUCUUUGGGGCAACCUCCAGUCUCUAUAUGCCUCGAAGGCACCCUGGAGAAGGUAUCUUUGUUGUUUACUGGGGUUAUAAACCCUUAUUAGUUUGACAUAUGACCUAUUCGUGAAUUACCCUUGUAAAUAAAACUGUCAAUUAAAGUUUCCAUUGCUGGACAAUUAUUUUUUGAUGGCUUUGUAUGCCUAACCUCCCAAAAAUAGCUUAUCUGAUUUUUUUUAUAUAGUUGAGCGCAAUUACUCAUUAUGUAACAAUACCAUUUUUUUGGUUUUUUCUAUGUCUUCUCCUAUUAUUUUGUUUUCUUAUUCUUUUUAUUCCUCAUGUCUUAAUUGUUCUAAUGAAUGUGUUACAUCUGCUCUAUGCUCGGUUGUUGUGGAAGCUUUGGCUCUGGAGCUUGGGUAUGUCUGGUGCUGCUUCUCAUGAAAAUUAUAUCAGAGAAUUUCCCAAGCUACUGGAGCUCCAUGUAAGUUUCCUCUUUAUAUGCAACCCCUAUCUAUCUUCUUGUUUUAUGAGUUCUUGUUAGCUUGUAUGCCGCAAGUCUCUUGGUUAUAUGUCAAAACUUCCGUGCUCUUAUCCUUUGCUGAUCUACCACAUGUUAGUACGUUAACUACGUCUAUGAGAUCGCACAAUGGUAGUACUGAACUUAAUUGAUGAUUAAGAAUACUUUGUAGCCGUUGAUAUCUUCUGUUAUUAUUCCCGGAAAUAAAUAGCAGAUGUAAGCUAUAUAUGCAGCUUCCCGUAUGCUAGUGGAUGAAAGUGCUCCUUUUUUUAGCAUCUUCGUUGACAUGAACACUUGCAUUGAAAUAUUUAGCAUGACUACUCAAAUUAUUGUUUGGCCUGUGACACUUGAGGCUAGCUUUUGAUUGUUCUGUAGGAGGUUAACAUUGUUCUAGCAAGACUGGCCUUAGACAGAGAGAUUGGGUAGCUUUUUUGUAUUUCUUUGAAUUCCAUCUAACUGUGCAAUAUUUCCUCCGUUGAAGGGUAAAAUUUAGAAGAAAAUACAAAAGAAAAAAUGAAUGUUUUGAAAUCAAAGGGAGAAAAAAUAAUAUUUAUUCUUACCCUGCCGGCGUAUUCCUUUCAUAAAUGAGUAAUGACCGCUAUAGAGUCAUUAUGUUACCUUUGGUCAGAAUCACCAUUUUUUGUUUAUUGACGUUUUUACCUAUGUUACUUUACUCUUCAUUUCACCUCAAGGACGGAUCCUAGACACUCGGCCAUGGGUACGACUAGACCUGUCAAACGGGUCGGGUUGUAAAAAAUUAUUUUCGGGUUGAAUUGGGUGGGUCACUUUCGGGUUUGAGUUUACAAAUGCUUGUUCAAAACCCUGAACUUUCGGGUUCGGGUCGACCCAAUGGGUUGAGAGAUUUUAAAACGCGCAUUAUAUUUUCAUUAAUUUAGGUGAUAAAUAUACAAAAUUUGGAUACAAAUUAACAAAUUUUCCUACCCAAGUCUAUAUUUAGUCAAAUUCAACCUUAAAAUGGCGUAUAUUCAAAUUAAAAUCAUAUUACACACAACAAUAGUAAAAACACCGUGUUUAUUAUGCUUAAAUUUUCUCAUAAUUUCAUUUAUUACUAUAAAUACACUGAUUUUCAAUCGGUCGGGUCCAAAACGGGUUCGGUUGGGUUUUGACCCAAUACUUUUCGGGUUGCUUGGGUUCGGAUAAAAUCGGGUUACGGGUCACAAAAUCUUGUUCAACACUCAGUAUUUACGAGUCGGUUUUCGGGUCGGGUCGAUUUUUUACAGGUCUAGUACGGACACUUCAUUUUCGACCGAAGCGCUGAUUUUUUUUCACAAAAUAGCCGAGUCGAACACUUGGCCCGCAUGGGUCCCCGAGUCUGAGUAACGUAGCUUUUUACUAUAACAGUAUUUAGUGGUAGUAAGGCAAUUAAAAUCAGUAAUAGGUAUAUUUUCUUUGAGGUGAAUUCAACUUUGAGCUUUACUAUCUUUCAGUUUCAGACUUUCAGCUAUUGAUUUUUUGUAUAUGAAUAUAUUGCAUUAAUAGAGACCUCGUUCUAUUUGUUUUAGAUGUAAAUAACUGUAGCCUGUAGGUUAGUGGAUGAUCGUGGCCUUAGUUUUAAGAAGCAUACCUUAGGUGCAGAGGAGAGCCUAGAGCGCUGUUAUACCUCCACCAAAUAAGAGUGAGAGGAAAGAAUGAAUGAUCCUCGGUUUCUCACUACAGAGAAAGAGAUUGAGUGAAGAGAGAAUCAUAGCUGUGCAUAUAGCUAUGAGCACAGACUUGGGACUUCUGUUUUCAUGUUCAAAUUCUUGCUGUCCGAAACCCUGGUGGAAUUUUAGGAACUUAGUUUUAUUUGGGAUUUGCAAUAAAUCCAGACUGGAUCAUUGUAACUAAGGCUGGCAAUCAUGUGCCUAUAAAUAGUUGACCGAUGUGAAAAAAAGAAAAGGCCUGGUUCAGGAUUCAUGAGCUUUUAAUGGUGCAGGGACAUAAUUUUCACAGCUUCCUGUCUUAUGAGGUCUAUUCGUUCUUCCUCCCUUCCCCUUCUUCAGCAACUAACAAUCUCAAGGGCUUGCUUCGAUUAGGGGCAUGUAUUAAGUGGGUAAUAAAAUAAAAUAUUAUGUUUGUAGUUUUAAUAAAUGUGUAUCAUGUGGUUCUCAUAGGAGAUGAGCACUAGAUCCAGCUAUUUCUUGUCAUGUUAUAUAUUGGAUAACCUAUAUAUCAAGGAGGUGACAAAGCCAAAACCACUCUGAUCACUGUUCAAGCAAAUUUUGGAGCAAGUGGUGGAAAAUGAAGAUAUAUGGCUGAAGUGGAGUAUCUUUCUGCGGAAAAUUCUACACAGUGCCCUCCCUGUUAGAGAAUGCCUGAAUCAAAGAGGUAUGAAAAGUGUGAAAUAUCAAUGAGAAUAUGGAAGGCAAGUACUCUGGAGAUUGGAAUCGGUAUUAAACUGAGACAUCUUGCUACUUUUGACGAUGAAGAUGGUAGCGACUACACGAGAACUGUGGGAGUAACAACAGUCUCGUGUUAGACAGUCUCGGAGCUUUUUAUGUGUUAUCCAGUAGCUUAUCGACCAUCAAUUGCAUUAAAUCAAAAUUUAUGGUUCGGAAUAGUGUUUUUGAAUUAGGGCUUCAGAUUGGCAAAAACCUGGAUGCAAUUAAAUUAGGGAUUUUCCUUGAAAUUAUUUAUAAAGCCUAGUUAACUUUAAAAUUAAGGAAAUUUGGCUUUUCAUUUAUAACAUUGGAGUCGGAUAUGCUCAUAAACCCCAAUAGUGGUCGGGGCAGGCUGUGCUUGUGGAUCUCCUUGCCUAAGUUCUACAGUUUAGCACAAGGUGUGCUUUGUAAAAUUAAAGCUAAUGUACGGAAAAGAAAAAUGCAGGGAAGGGAAAGGAAAGGGAGGAAACUACCUUGUUUUGAUAAUAGGUUGGGCGAAGGAAAAGGAGGGAGAUGGAGGGAUCCGUUUUCCUUCCAUAUUUAAUGAACACCAUCCCUCCAAAGUAUGAGUGAUUUUGGAGAACAUGAAGCUCACUUUCCCCUCUCCCUUCUCCUCUUUCCCUUCCAUUUCCUUUAUUUUGUUGUCCAAAUAUUUUUUUCAUUUCUUUUGUUCGUUUUAUUGUGGGAAACAAUUUUCUCAAAUGUCAAGUGUUUGCUAAGGUAAGUAGGUAAUGUAGAGGUUAUUGUUUUAUCCCAGAACAAAGUUUCUACUUAAGGUGAGUUAAUUCUCAGAAGUUACAAUUUUAUUUUUGGUCACUUUUA